rnacentral:rRNA from 1 species
GAGAAUCUUCCGCAAUGGGCGAAAGCCUGACGGAGCGACGCCGCGUGAUCGAUGAAGUACUUAGGUAUGUAAAGGUCUUUUAUAGAGGAGGAAGUUUAUUGACGUUACUCUAUGAAUAAGGGGCUGCUAAACUCGUGCCAGCAGCAGCGGUAACACGAGUGCCCCGAGCGUUAUCCGGAAUCACUGGGCGUAAAAGGUCCGUAGGCGGUUGUAUUAGUCUCUUGUUAAAGCCCCGAGCUCAACUCGGGUCCUGCAAGGGAAACGGUACAACUAGAGAGUAUGAGAGGUGUGUGGAACUCAUGGUGUAGGGGUGAAAUCCGUUGAUAUCAUGGGGAACGCCGAAGGUGAAG